GUAAGGAGUCCUCCAGCUUGACAUUAUUUUGAAAUAAAGGCUUAUAGUGUAAACGUGCACUAAAUAACGCUUCUGUGGAGGUCUGACUUUAGAUCCCAUUACUGUACAUGGCUCAAUGGAGGAAGAACAAUGAACUUGCACAAAACUCAUCAACUUUGAUCAGGGUCUGACCACAAGCAGACAUCCAAUGCACCCAAUCCCUAAGCUUCAGAGCCUGAGCUCCAGCCCAAGAACACAAACCAAAAUGGCUAUUUUUACCACUGUAGGAUGAGCCGUGGUCUGCAGAUCUGGCCACCGGCUGUUCUUGCUGUGUAGAUGUACUUUUGUGAUCAAAUGUAGGCUAAACUCUCUUUGCAGAGUGCUGAAGGAGUGUGUGGGAACUUCUUUCAAUCCUUUCUGAUCAGUCCCUUUCCAAAUGCUGUAAGUUACUGAUAUUCUUCCAAGAAGGUGUUAGGUUUCCAUGCAAUUAAUUUCAAAAUUUAAAUUUAGUUUAAUCCAGUUAAAUGUAUUACAACAGCAUCAGAUCUAGGCCUCUGGGAAAGGCCUUUGGAUUUUAUUAACAUAAAUAAUAACAUUUUAUUAUAAAAAGAGAAGGAUGGUGUUUGGUUACAUUACUGGGCUGGGACUUGGGAUGUGGGUUAGAUCCAUCAGGCUUUGGUAAAUCCUUCCGCCUUGCUAUACCUCAGUCCUUAUUAGUACACUGGGAGGUACAACUUUCCUACCUCCCAGAUAUACUGACAGGGUAAAUUCAUUUAUGCCCAUGAAACUCUCAAACACUACAGAGAUGAGAAUUAUGAAAGUACCUAAGCAGAGGAACAGACAAUUUAACUUCCCAUCAAGCCACUAGCAUAAUCUCAACACCAAUUAAAUUAAACUACAGUUGUAAAGAACAAUUACUACACCUAGUAAGCACAAGAUAAAAAGGUGUAAAAUAAGGUACCUGUAAGCCAUCCUACCAUAUAAAGUAGCAAUGUGAUGUUGCUCAGUACUGUUACUUGUCUAGCUUUCCUCAAACACAGAAAUACACAUAAUUUAGAUAAAAGAAUAUGCAAAUCAAUGUUGGUAAUGUGGCAUCCAAAUAAUUGUGCAUACCCUGAUGAAAAGAAGAGAUUGUAAGGCAGAAAUGCAAAUGUAUAAUAUCUGGAUGAUAUGAAUUGGACCUUGGAAACCUCUAUGUAGUGUUUGGGGCUGAUAAUCUUUUAAAAUGUCAAGGUUAAUUUGGUUUUUUUGUACCUGUAAACUUAAAGAUGCGGAAAUUUUGCAAGCUUACAAAAUGGAGCCUAAAACUCCAUUUUGUAUUUAAACAUUCUCUCUAAUGACAUCCAUUUAUGAUCUGCAUUCUGACACGUCCACAGGUGACUGUUAGAUUUUAAAAACUCGCUCACCUGGUGGGUAUGAUUUGCAUAGAUUAUGAAUAUGCAUGAGCAUUCCGAACCAACCUAUCAGUUUGUACCACGCUCAAGGUGCAUCUUUUGGCAGCCAAUCGGUUUAAAUCAUUGCAGUCUAUGCAUAUUCAAGGUCUGACCGAACGAUGGUUCGUUCUGGUCCUCGGGCUUAUCCUGAGGUCAGGGCGUCAUUCGCGUCGGGAUUAGGCUUAGGUUAGGAGUGAAUGAGUAUGAAAAAGGUCCUGUAAAGGUCUUGUCUUUAGAGAAUUGGACGGAAGGUUCUCUUCUCUCUUUUAGGUUAGGCUAGUUAGUUUAGUAAUUAGGUAGGUUAGUUCACGUCGUCGUGUUUGUUCGUCAGGCUGCGUCGGGUCAAAGCAUUUCGGCCGUCGUCGAGUCCAUACGUCGGGCGCGUCACGUUUUAGAAUAGGGUUUUAUUUUAGGUUAAGGUUAGAAUAGGUAGAGACGGAGUCUAGCUUCCAUCGCCGGUUCCAGAGGCGCCGAAGAGCCUGAAGAAUCGCUCUUCACGGAAGGUGAAAUCCGCAAUUCUACCCAGUUCUUCGUGGGACUCCUGGCUGUUCCUCUCUUGAGGUCCGGAAGGACCAACGGAUUGAGGUCGCCAGCUUUGACCCUGAGACAGCCGGCAAGGGAUGCCUGGUCGUUCCUCUCCUGAGGCUUUCAAAUAGCCAAGGGAUUGAAGGUCGCCAGCACCACCUCAAUCGCCCUCCCAUCGCCGUAGACUCUGUAAGUAGGAAUAGGGACCUGGAGGGACUUCCCCUUCUUGUCCGUGUAAUGUAAUAGGGGACUGCCCCCUUAUUUGUUAACUAGAGGUAUAUCAUUUUUACAAAUUAUACUGUUUGUUAAAUUUAAUUUGCUUAAUAUAGUCUUGUGGUUGUCACUGAAAACCCAAGUCUUAAAUUUUAUUUCACGCGCCAUCUCAAUCUAAGCAUUGACACUCUGCCGGUGAUCAGAUAUGGAAUAAGAGUACCACCCCUAAGCGGAUGAGUUUGGGUUAUUUAAUAACUCUCUGGGAAGCGUCUUUAAACACCUUUGACCUUCCUUAUUCUAUUCGAUAGACAGCUAACAAGAUCAAGCCAUAGUUUAAUCCUGAAAGUGAUCUUGUAUAUAGAGUGAGAGCGUUCAUGGCAAGAAUGAACCAAAUUUUGCCCACUCAUACAGGUUCUGAGAAAAGUUCAAGCCCUCAGGCAGGCCUGUGCAGUUAUGCUAUUUCCAUUGCAUCCAGAGGUGUUCUGCAAUAGUUCAGAGAUCCUCAAAAAAGUACCAAAAAUGAGUGGACAGUUUUGAACUACAUGCUGAUUCCCUAUAAAUCAAUGUACAAAUCACAUUUCCUUUCUCAAAUUACAAGCUAUAGGCCAGAUAGCAUUCUCAGUUACACAAAUACAACCCAAUUACUUUCACUAGAUUUACAUGGGUAACAGAGCAGAAUUUAUCUUUGGUUGGUUAUUUUUUUAAAAGGUCAACAUUUCCAUAAAUUACAGUAAAGAAAUGUUUAGCUUAAGUAAGAGAAGCAUUCCUUUAAUCUUUUAGAAAUCAGACCUAUUUCUUGAUCAGAGAAAAAGGGUAGGAAGAUUACAGCUAAGAUGUGAAAUCUAUUAUCUGUUCAUUUCUACUGUAGACGAGCAAUCAAAUAAAAUUACAAUAACAAAUGAUAUCCUUAUUCAUAAAGGGAAAUAACACUUUUGAAAAGGGUGUGGUUUUAUCAUGAUUUUAGUAAGCUUAUUUUAACAUCCCACCACUGCAGAAUAAAAAAGUUCCGCUAACAUUUAGCCACAAUCCUAAGGAAUCUCUCACACAGGAGUGGAAGAAGGUACAAAAUGGUAAAUGAGACUCUUGUCACUAUCACAACAUGGAAUAAAAAUUGGAGGUGCAAAAAUUGCCGGAGACUAUCCAAAGUACUGACACUUACCGGCUAAAAUCAUGGUGUAAAAAUCUUCAUCUAGUAUGCAGUGCUACUAUAAUUAAAAAAGGCAUUAUGAUAUGCCUCUCUAAAAUAUCCCUCUCCUUUGCUCUUACACAAGUGUCUUGGCAGUGGUGAUAGCACAUGACAGACAUAUGAGCAUCAAACUGUAACCUGACAAAGUGGUAUUAACAUUUACCUGGUCUGAAAGUUAUGAUGUAGCCUUAUACUUACACCUCUGUACAGGCAGCAAAAGCAGCUGCUUCUGCCAAGCAGUCAGUCAUUCUGUCUAUCCUGCUAUCUAUAGUUCUGAAAUUCAUGUGUCACCAACUGCAGUGAGUCUCCAGAUCUAAUAAAAAUACUAUUCUCCACUUCUUUAGGAGAAUAAAAGUUCUCAGCUGGGAAGAAGGGACUUUUCUAUAUUGCAAUCAUGCCAGCUGCAUUUCCAAACAUUUCCCAAUAAGGAGAAAUAUAGUAUCUUUGCAGUGAUGUUUAUCUAACUAAUUUUUUUUCCUAUCAACAUUAGGGUUAAAUAUUACAAUUUUGCCAAAGAAAUAUUAACUCUUUGGCAUCCUCUUACUUCCACGAAAGCCAAUUUGCUAAUCAUUUAAGUAUUUAUUCCCAUAUUCACAGUUAAUUUCAGAGCUUAAAGAUGAAAGAGAUAGCAGACCCAAUGGGAAGAGAGCUCUGAGAUGGUCUCAGAUCAAUUUGUGAGCUGGGGAGAAAUUAACUAUAUUUAAAAUUAGCUAACCAAGCAAGUUAACUAAUGUGAAGCCAGUCCUGCUGUUGCAACUGGGGAAGACAACAUUAGGCCCUGGAUAAUAUUAUAUUAUUUCAUAUUCAAAUACAUUUUAACAAAUAUUGAAUGUAUCAUGCUCACCUAGUACAUGUAGUGCUUGACCAGAAAAAAUUCCUUCAAAACGGGAAUUUUUUUGUAUACUUAGUGUUCUAAUAUCAUGUAAUGCAGCAAAGUUGUCAGAACUAUAUGCCUUAUAUUUCAUCUAGUCACAAAAGUGAGACAACUGGAAGAAGCCAGUUUCUGAAAGGUUAACAUCCAUCCAGAUAUUGUAAGUGUUCCAGUGACAAAGUAAGGAACAGCGACACCAUUCAUAGAUUCAAAAGCCAGAACAGACCACUGUGAUUGCCUAGUCUGACCUCUUGUGUAACAUAAGCCACAACCUCCCAAUUCCCAAAUAAAUUCCUACAGCAUAUAUUUUGGAAAAGUCAUCCAAUCUCAUUUUAAAACACUGCCAGUGUCUUUUCUAAUUUUGAUGUUUUAUUUGUGUUUAACAUUUAUUUUACGUUUUACAGUUAUUUUAAAUUCAGUUGAACUAUUGCUCACAACUAUUAAUACAUUUAAUGCACAGAACUAAUCCAUCAAUUUAUCUACACUUUGCUAAUGUUAAUGUUGGUCCCAAGACAUGAGACACAAAGUGGGUAAGGUAUUAUCUUUCAUUAGAGAAGUCUGUCUUUUUCCCCCCAACAGAAGUAGGUCUAAUAAAAGGCAUUACCAGGUUAUUGAAAGAAGACAGAAGUAGUUAGAUUUCAGUUUUGACUUUUAUCUGGAAAUAUUGAUCUACUGUGCAAAGUGCUUCAACACUGGCUGCAGUACAGACUGUUAAAAAUUCAGUUGCAAAAUAUCAGUUGUUGAAGUUCAAAAAGCUUUUUGUUACAAAGUUUAAGAAAGAUUAUGGCAGGAAGUCUCUAAAAGCAACCUGAUUGGUGAUAUUUUGUUCAUUGGGUUCAAGAAAGAAAAGCCUUCUCUCUGGACUGUUCUCAAGGUGAAGACUGAUAUAACAAUUAAAAUAAAAAAUGUAAGCAGACAGGACAUUUGUUUCAAUACCAGGAGACUGAAGAAGGAGCCAUGAAGUGAGGAGAACAGCACAUUGUGCUGUUAAAUAGGAAGGUAGGAAAGCAGGUGAGCAACCUGUGAAAACAGGUCUUUGUAGUGCAUAGUUGAAGAAAAGACUUUUAAGUGAAAUUAACUCUAAGGGGAAAAAAACCAAGCAAUGAUAAUUUUAAUAGUUGGUAACACCACAGGCACACCACUAGCAAGAAGCUAAUAGAUUGUUCAGACAAAUUAUCAGAAAGUCUGAAGACCCCGAUCCAUUACUAACAUAUGGACUGCAAACUGUGCUACUAUAGCAGUAUAUGAGAAGAUGCUUGAUCAGAAAACUCUCACAAACAUUCCUUCUAGAGAGUCUUUCCCAGGUCUUAUGUGGGAAUUAAGAAAAAGACAUUCCUGUAUGUCUUGUUCAUUUGGAUCAAUGCCUGAUUAUACUGAUAAGCAAAUCUCUUAACGGGCUUAUAUUUUUAUGUUCUGUGGAAAGGAUGGGAAAGAAAUGUAAACUUGUUUGAUCUGCAGCUGAACAGGGACCUUCUAACAAAAGUUUCCUCCUGGAUAUUCAGGUUUGCUGAUUCCUAGAUGAUAAACUGAUUCCAGAGUUUUGCUUGAGCUGAGAGAAAUGUAUUGGUCAGGGUUUUAUUUCAGAGUGGACUCCAAACUACUUCAAGUGGUUAACAGGACAGCUAACCAGGAGACUCUUUCUAUAUGAGGAGAGGGAUGACAUAACAUCUCCUCUUGUUGCAAAUCUCCUUAACUACAAAAAUAAAUCAGAACUGUUCUCUUGUAGUAUAAAAAAAAUCAUUGUGACGUGAUGCCAUCUUAGACCUCUGGAUGGAGGGGGCUGCAUUCUGGGAAUAUUUCUAGAGAAUUUAAAUUGAAUGCUUCUACUCAUAGUGAAUCCCCAGUAUCCUAUGCUGAGCUGCCCUGAAGAUCUGUACAGGGAGGAAAAUGCCACACCCCACACUUCCAGCCACUGCAUAUUUCUUCAUAAGAGCUACCUCUGUUUUUCUGUCUAAGGAAACUGUGCUUGUUAACAGUACAAAUGAGCAUUUGUAUGAAAUUAUUGCCAAGCCCACUUUGGGAAUCACUUCCCAACUUCUGAUCUCCCCAAAAGGAGUUACAGUAUAAAGUCUGUGCACGUAUCUGCUGGAUAGAAUAGCUAGGCUCUUCUAGCAUGACUUCACAAAUGAUGAGCACCGAGUAAAUGAACCAGGUAAUCUGACUCAUAAGAGAACAUUCUUUGGAUCUGCAACUUUUGCAUCUGAAAGGUCUCCUAGAUUUUUGUGAAGAACUGAAGACCUCUCCACCUAAAGCACAGCAACAAAAAAGCCUCCAUAAAAAUGAACACCAUAGCCUUACUGAAUCUAGGAAGUGUGCACUCUAGAAAUCCCUUUCAGGAUUGCAGUUCAUUAUGAAGAAAUAUAGGUAAGCCAGGACAUUCUUAAACCUAAAUUCCGUCGCCUGAUUGAUCUGUCUGGGUGCAGAGUAGGGCUGUAAAAGGAUAAAAAGUACUAACUGUGUAACCGAUUACAAUUCAAUUGGUUACACAGUUAAACACUGCUGGCCGGCAGCGCCGCAGGCUGCCAUCCCCGAGGGAGUUUAACUGGUAACUGGAACCUAUCAGCAUCAGCUUAUCGGUUUCUGGCUUAACUUUUACAUCCCCAGUGCAGAGCUCCAUAGAUCCAUCUUUUGACCUGACUAAUAGCCAGAAGACAUCUCAUUUGCCAAUUAUACAUUGGCCCUGUUGUGAUACAGUAGAGUGUCCCAUGUAUGCCUUCAGAGUUCUUGCAAUCAGUUCUUGGCCUUAGAGGCCUAUAUUCUUCAAUUACUCUGGUGACAAAAUGCACAAACUGCCAGAUCACCAGAGACAGAGCAAGAACACAAUUUAGAACUGUUGUGUAGAAGCAAAAAUGAGGAAAGGAAGUGGUAUAUUGCUGUGACUGGCAGCUAACAGCCUGCUGAUGCCAUAGGUUAGAAGUAAAUGUUGCUCCCUGCACUGGUGGCAAACAGAGAGAGUGUGUGUGUGUGAGAGAGAGCGUGCACGAGUGCAGCCAAUAUAUCAUGGCAUUUUUUAAAACCUGAAAAACACCUGUCAAAGAAAAUACUUUUAAAAUCUGUUAGUAACCCAACAUCCAGAAGAGAAAAUUGCUCAUGACAGCAAUGAAGAAAAAUUACUUAAAAAAAAAAUCCUUCCUCUACCUUACACGUUGCAUAGACAGAAAUACAGAAACAUGUCACAAAACAUGGAAGCACUUGAAUAUUCUCAUUCCAGACUCCUCAAUUUCAGAAGGAAGCAGUGCCAUUGUGAAGAAACGUAUGGAAGAAGGCAGUGUCAGAAAAACUGCUGGUCUGAAACAGGAGCAUAGAACAAGACAUAGUGGGUCUUGAAGAGUGGAUGUGAGCUGAAAAUUAGCCUGCUCAUCAGCACACCUCACAGGGAAGUUUUCCGAAGGAAGAUGAGGAGAUGCAGCAACAGCAUAUAAAUGAAGCCCCUGAAGCGGGAUGAAGAGUUGCUGAACACCACCAUAAGAAGGUAAUGAACAGCCACCUACUUUACCCUGCCAGAUACGACAGACCUGUCAGCAGACACUGAUGGGCAAUAUAUUAAAAGGCUGCUGACAUAUUUAAGCAUCAUUAUAGACACACGUUUGUAGGACACAAUGACGCUAUUACCGUUUUCAUCCCCCACAGCCCCAGAAAACAAAAAUGAUGGACUCUAGGCAGUCAGAGGAAUAUGGAUGAAGUUGCCUUGACAUGAAGUAGACAAAAUUUCUCAAAUGGGAAACACUAUAAUUGGCAAAGUCAUUAACAUCAAACAGUGGCUUCCAAAGAAAUGACUUACUACAAUUUGAGGGUGGCUGGCACUUUGCCCUCCUCUUUUCCUACAAAAGGCCCAAAUCCCCUUCUACUGGCUUUUACCAAUGAUGUUGACAAUUUCUCUGCUGCUUGACAAUACUAUCUGAUUAUAAACUGUUGUAUGAUCCUUGUAUGUAAAUACUUUGUUAAAAAACCAACUGUAUUGUAAAUAGUUUCCAGUUACUCAGGAGUUUGCAAGUACAUUGUCAUAUACAAGGUAUUUUCUCACAAUGCUAUACAAAAUACUAACUUGUUCAGCUCAUCUUCUAUUUAAAGAUACCAAUCUAGAAGAUGCAAAUAAGUGCUUAAAACCCUGAAGUUAUUUGUGAAGAAUAGCACUAGAUAAGUCUUCAAACAUGAGACAAAUAGCUUAAUCUAGCUAGAAUCUGGACUCAAACCCCUCAAGCCUAAACUAUUUCAAGUUUUUAUACGUCCACUCUGACUGCAUUUCCUUCUUUAUGUCUCAUGAUACUAGACUUCAACAUUUGAUGAAAAAAAUGUGUAAAGAAUCUUUCUGCCUUGAAAGAGUGAAAUGCUAUUGUGUACAAAAUAAAAGUGCAUGUUGUCAA